rnacentral:rRNA from 1 species
CUGGCGGCGUGCCUAACACAUGCAAGUCGAGCGAGGAGAUCCUUCGGGAUGAUCCUAGCGGCGGACGGGUGAGUAACACGUGGGCAACCUGCCUCAUAGAGAGGAAUAGCCUUCCGAAAGGGAGAUUAAUACCUCAUAACAUUGCAGUUUCGCAUGGAACAGCAAUUAAAGGAGCAAUCCGCUAUGAGAUGGGCCCGCGGCGCAUUAGCUAGUUGGUGAGGUAACGGCUCACCAAGGCGACGAUGCGUAGCCGACCUGAGAGGGUGAUCGGCCACAUUGGGACUGAGACACGGCCCAGACUCCUACGGGAGGCAGCAGUGGGGAAUAUUGCACAAUGGGGGAAACCCUGAUGCAAGCAACGCCGCGUGAGUGAUGACGGCCUUCGGGUUGUAAAGCUCUGUCUUCAGGGACGAUAAUGACGGUACCUGAGGAGGAAGCCACGGCUAACUACGUGCCAGCCGCUGC